UACGAAGGGGGCUAGCGUUGUUCGGAAUUACUGGGCGUAAAGCGCGCGCAGGCGGUCUUCCAAGUCAGUGGUGAAAGCCUGGAGCUCAACUCCAGAACUGCCAUUGAAACUGUUAGACUUGAGUACGAGAGAGGUGAGUGGAAUUCCCAGUGUAGAGGUGAAAUUCGUAGAUAUUGGGAAGAACACCAGUGGCGAAGGCGGCUCACUGGCCCGUAACUGACGCUCAGGCGCGACAGCGUGGGGAUCAAACAGG
rnacentral:rRNA from 1 species